UACGAAGGGGGCUAGCGUUGCUCGGAAUCACUGGGCGUAAAGGGUGCGUAGGCGGGUCUUUAAGUCAGGGGUGAAAUCCUGGAGCUCAACUCCAGAACUGCCUUUGAUACUGAGGAUCUUGAGUUCGGGAGAGGUGAGUGGAACUGCGAGUGUAGAGGUGAAAUUCGUAGAUAUUCGCAAGAACACCAGUGGCGAAGGGCGGCUCACUGGCCCGAUACUGACGCUGAGGCACGAAAGCGUGGGGAGCAAACA
rnacentral:rRNA from 1 species